GACGAACGCUGGCGGCGUGGAUUAGGCAUGCAAGUCGAACGGUAUCAUCCUUUCGGGGGUGAGAGAGUGGCGAACUGGUGAGUAACACGUAGGUUAUCUACCCUCAAGACGGGGACAACCCAGGGAAACUUGGGCUAAUACCGGAUGUGAGCAACUUUUUAGUUGUUUGAAAGGUGGCGUAAGCUGUCGCUUGGGGAUGAGCCUGCGUCCUAUUAGUUAGUUGGUGAGGUAACGGCUCACCUAGGCAAUGAUAGGUAGGCGGCCUUAACGGGUGGUCGCCCACACUGGGAUUGAGAUACGGCCCAGACUCCUACGGGAGGCAGCAGUCGAGAAUAGUCUACAAUGGUCGGAAGACUGAUAGUGCGACGCCGCGUGAACGAUGAAUCCCUUCGGGGUGUAAAGUUCUUUUAUAUGUGAGCAGUGCUUCUUAUAUUAACAGUAUGGGGAGAGAGAUAUAGCAUAUGAAUAAGCAACGGCUAACUCCGUGCCAGCAGCCGCGGU
rnacentral:rRNA from 1 species